GUACGAAUUUCGUAAUUAAAAUGACGUAAUUUGUCAUUUUGUGCCCACCGACUAAUUAUGUUUUGUAGGGGAUUUCCGCUGCGGUGAAAAUUGCAUGCAUUAUAUGUCACCAUCUGUAGUAGAUACAACGUUUCAAAAAAAGCUGUACAUCAUGAAAUUUUUGGUAUAGACCAAUUUGAGAAUGCAAAUUUCAAUUCUGGGCUACACUUUUGGCAAAUAUGGAGAUGAAAAAUUUAUUACGCG